rnacentral:rRNA from 1 species
UACAGGGGGAGCAAGCGUUGUUCGGAUUUACUGGGCGUAAAGGGCGCGUAGGCGGCGUAACAAGUCACUUGUGAAAUCUCCGGGCUUAACUCGGAGCGGUCAAGUGAUACUGUUGUGCUAGAGUGCGGAAGGGGCUACUGGAAUUCUCGGUGUAGCGGUGAAAUGCGUAGAUAUCGAGAGGAACACCUGCGGCGAAGGCGGGUAGCUGGGCCGACACGUGACGCUGAGGAGCGAAAGCGUGGGGAGCGAACAGG